UCAUCCAAUCAAGACAUGCAGUCCAGGAACCUCCGUGGGCACUACCGCAGUAUAUAAAUGAUGCUGAAGUGCGGUAACGUUUUUUCAGGUUCCUGUAUUUUCAUGUCGAGUUGCUCACUGCCCAACGUAGAAGAGUAGGAAUCAGGAUUCGGUGGCUAUAUGCUGGAGGCUGGAGCCGCGGGAGCGCAGCUCGCCUCACUGCGGUUGUUGGCAGUGAUGGAGAGAUAGCAUCGCGGCUGGAGAGUCUUUCCAUCGUGUUCCACUGUCGCAGCCACACACCAGAUAUGAAGACUACAAGCAACCUCAAAAGGUCUUUUCAUUUGUUCAGCAUUUGAAACUUCUUCCUGACACCAGAGGGGCUCUUCUUAGCUGUCUUUUUCCUGGGUUAUUCCUGGUAAACUAGCUGAUAUUUGUUUCAAAGCAUAUGUCUCUAAUAAAGUGCCAGUCUCUCUUAUUUGAUUUUUACCAUCA